GGUAUGGAAGUAACCCAGGUCCACAUCUCAACUUCAGCCUUCCAUUGCUGAUAUGGUUCAGAUGAAGAAAAAAUUGAACACAAAAAAAGGGUAUGGCCUGUAAGCCAUAUGAGGAGGCGGUGGCAUAGUGGUAUUAGUGGACAAGCAAUCCAGAGACCCAGGGUAAUGCUCUGGGGACCAGGGUCGAAUCCCACCACAAGAGAUGGUGAGAUGUGAAUUCAAUUUAAAAAUCUGAAAUUAAAAAUCUAAUGAUGACCAUGAAA